UACAGAGGUCUCAAGCGUUGUUCGGAUUCAUUGGGCGUAAAGCGUGCGUAGACGGUUAUGUAAGUCGGGUGUGAAAGCCCCGGGCUCAACCCUGGGAAUGCCAUUCGAGACUGCAUAGCUAGGGUGCGGAAGAGGGAAGCGGAAUUUUCCGGUGUAGCGGUGAAAAUGCGUAGAUAUCGGGAGGAACACCAGUGGCGAAGGCGGCUUCCUGGCCUGUUCUUGAC
rnacentral:rRNA from 1 species